AGAUUCUCGCAAAUCUGGAAGCGGAUCGCGUGGAGUGACGGUCACACCGCGGCGGAUUAAUUUCCAAAGAUUCAUGUUACAUGAGGAAGCCGCCAAGAAGACCAAAGAAAAGGAGACAAGGAUGGCUCUUCCUCAGGUAUGCUUGACUUUCAGGGAUGUGGCUAUAGAAUUCUCUUUGGAGGAGUGGAAAUGCCUGAACCCUGCGCAGAGGGCUUUAUACAGGGCCGUGAUGUUGGAGAACUACAGGAAUCUGGAGUCUGUGGAUAGCUCUUUUAAAACCAUGAUGGAGUUCUCAUCAACAGGGCAAGGCAAUACAGAAGUGUUCCACACAGGGAUGUUGGAAAGACAUGAAAGUCAUCACAUUGGAGAUUUUUGCUUCCCAGAAAUCAAGAAAGAUAUUUAUGACUUUGAGUUUCAGUGGCAAGAAGUUGAAAGAAAUGUCCAUGAAGCAUCCAUGACAAAAAUCAAAAAGUUGACUGGUAGUACAGACCGAUAUGAUCAAAGGCAUGCUGGAAACAAGCCUAUUAAAGAUCAGCUUGGAUCAAGCUUUUAUUCGCAUCUGCCUGAACUGCACGAAUUUCAGACUGAAGGGA
rnacentral:sRNA from 1 species